rnacentral:rRNA from 1 species
CCUACGGGAGGCAGCAGUGAGGAAUAUUGGUCAAUGGACGAGAGUCUGAACCAGCCUAGUAGCGUGAAGGAUGACUGCCCUAUGGGUUGUAAACUUCUUUUAUAAAGGAAUAAAACGAGGCACGUGUGCCUUUUUGCAUGUACUUUAUGAAUAAGGAUCGGCUAACUCCGUGCCAGCAGCCGCGGUAAUACGGAGGAUCCGAGCGUUAUCCGGAUUUAUUGGGUUUAAAGGGAGCGUAGAUGGGUUGUUAAGUCAGUUGUGAAAGUUUGGGGCUCAACCGUAAAAUUGCAAUUGAUACUGGCAGUCUUGAGUACAGUUGAGGUAGGCGGAAUGUAUGGUGUAGCGGUGAAAUGCUUAGAGAUCAUACAGAACACCGAUUGCGAAGGCAGCUUACUAAACUGCCACUGACAUUGAUGCUCGAAAGUGUGGGUAUCAAACAGGAUUAGAUAUCCCAGUAGUC